AUUGAACGCUGGCGGCAGGCUUAACACAUGCAAGUCGAGAGAGCGGCGGACGGGUGAGUAAGGUCUGGGAAAAUGCCUGAUGGAGGGGGAUAACUACUGGAAACGGUAGAUAAUACCGCAUAACAUCAGAUGUGCCCAGAUGGGAUUAGCUAGUAGGUGGGGUAACGGCGCACCUAGGCGGCGAUCACUAGCUGGUCUGAGAGGAUGACCAGCCACACUGGAACGGAGACACGGUCCAGACGCCGACGGGAGGCAGCAGUGGGGAAAAUUGCACAAUGGGCGCAAGCCUGAUGCAGCCAUGCCGCGUGUAUGAAGAAGGCCUUCGGGUUGUAAAGCAAUUUCAGCGAGGAGGCGUUACUCGCAGAAGAAGCACCGGCUAACUCCGUGCCAGCAGCCGCGGUAAUAC
rnacentral:rRNA from 1 species